GUUGCUGAGUAACACUUUCAUUACACUGUAGGUAUAAAGCUGCCUCUAUCCUAGUCUCAUGCCCUGGUCAGGCUGUGGUAUGGUAAAGACGGCAGCGCAACGCGGAUCGGCAUAGGACGGGUACCUAAUGGAGCUCGGACGCUUGCAAUCGUCGUGUGUGCGAGACCGAAAGCGCGCUGCAUGGGUCCCAAGUGCAAGCUGCUGACCGUGCUUUAUUGAAAAGCGUUGUUGGGAUUUCCCAUUUCGUUCUUGUGUCCCUACGUGAACGGAUUGUGCAUCAGACGUUGAGGGUCAGCGCAUUGCAGACAAUGCAAACCGACCGCUAGCACAUUUGCAUCAGUACAGAUUUUUCGUGCUUGCAGCCAGGCAAUUCGUUCGGUGCAUCCACGAGAGGGCCGAAACACUCCCCCAAAGUCACGUUUCCUAUCAACUCUUACAACAAAAGCAGCGCACAGCUGGCGCGAGAUAAAGCCGUCUCUCAAGUUCGUCACUCCGGGGGCGCGCACACGCGUACCUCUUGCGCACCGAUACGAUAACAGCGAUGCUAAGGCGAAAGCGUCCCAUAUACAUUCGGGAUCCGUAGUGAGCUCGACAACUCGGUGGUAACUGCGUGGAUCAAGCCUUUCUUUCCUGACGGACUACUACCCUGACGCUGAGGCGUGGAAAUUCCCGCGAAAGGCAUCAGGCAAAGCACGCUGAGGAUCGCAGUCUAGCGGCCUGCUCGAGUCGCGAGUCCGGGAGCUUCCAGCUCGAUGUAACCGGGCGAGACGAUAUAGAGUGUGUCCGCACGAGCGCGAACGGGCGUCGCGACCUCAGCACCCAAACCUCAUGACAACAAAAACCACAAGCAAUUGCGGGUUCCGGCAAAACUGAUCAAUGGUUCUUUUAGCCACGUUACGUCGUCGAGUCUGGCCAAAUGACCCCGCGAAUUAUCUUCAGACUAGACAGGUCCUGGUUGUUUGGUCAAAGUGCGUGGCGCGAAGCUCCCCAUAGCUGCUUGCAGUUGGUGCUUCUGGUGACGCCGUGCAGGGCGAACGCUUUCGCAACCAAGGCCAGUACCGACCAACACUUCACAUUGUAAAUCGGUACCAGUAUACUGAGACCUGAGCGGUUUGGUCUGCCGGGGUAUCGGUAAUAUACCUCACCCGCCGAUGAGUGCCAUUGCGUAACAACGCAGCAGCGUACACGGUCUUGGUUUGUGUACAAAAGCCUGUGGACUGUCCGCUGGCUGCGCCAAGAAGAACGCUUGUCUUUGCGCUACAUCCGGGUCAGAUGAAAAAGGAACAGUAAACAGUUCGUU